rnacentral:rRNA from 1 species
AGUGAACGCUGGCGGUAGGCCUAACACAUGCAAGUCGAACGGCAGCACCGUAAGAGCUUGCUCUUACGGGUGGCGAGUGGCGGACGGGUGAGGAAUACAUCGGAAUCUACUUUUUCGGGGGGGAUAACGUAGGGAAACUUACGCUAAUACCGCAUACGACCUACGGGUGAAAGCAGUGGAUCUUCGGACCUUGCGCGGUUGAAUGAGCCGAUGCCGGAUUAGCUAGUUGGCGGGGUAAAGGCCCACCAAGGCGACGAUCCGUAGCUGGUCUGAGAGGAUGAUCAGCCACACUGGAACUGAGACACGGUCCAGACUCCUACGGGAGGCAGCAGUGGGGAAUAUUGGACAAUGGGCGCAAGCAUGAUCCAGUCAUACCGCGUGGGUGAAGAAGGCCUUCGGGUUGUAAAGCCCUUUUGUUGGGAAAGAAAAGCAGCAGGUUAAUACCCCGCUGUUCUGACGGUACCCAAAGAAUAAGCACCGGCUAACUUCGUG